GGUAUGAUAGUGCAUUGGUAGUAUGUGAUCCUGGUAUGGAUGGAACGCUGGUUCAAUUCCAGCUCGAGGUCG